rnacentral:tRNA from 1 species
GCGCUCGUAGCUCAACUGGAUAGAGCAUCUGACUACGGAUCAGAAGGUUGGGGGUUCGAAUCCUCCCGAGCGCA